UACAGAGGUCCCAAGCGUUGUUCGGAUUCACUGGGCGUAAAGGGUGCGUAGGCGGUCGGGUAAGUCUGAUGUGAAAUCUCACAGCUUAACUGUGAAACUGCAUUGGAUACUAUCCGGCUCGAGGAAUGGAGGGGAGACUGGAAUACUUGGUGUAGCGGUGAAAUGCGCAGAUAUCGGGAGGAACACCGGUGGCGAAGGCGGUUCUCUGGGCCUUACCUGACGCUGAGGAGCGAAAGCGUGGGGAGCGAACAGG
rnacentral:rRNA from 1 species